rnacentral:rRNA from 1 species
AUUGAACGCUGGCGGAAUGCUUUACACAUGCAAGUCGAACGGCAGCACGGACAUCGGUCUGGUGGCGAGUGGCGAACGGGUGAGUAAUGUAUCGGAACGUGCCCAGUCGAGGGGGAUAACGUAGUGAAAAUUACGCUAAUACCGCAUACGAUCUAUGGAUGAAAGCGGGGAAUCGCAAGACAUCGCGCGAUUGGAGCGGCCGAUAUCAGAUUAGGUAGUUGGUGGGGUAAAGGCCCACCAAGCCAACGCUCUGUAGCUGGUCUGAGAGGACGACCAGCCACACUGGAACUGAGACACGGUCCAGACUCCUACGGGAGGCAGCAGUGGGGAAUUUUGGACAAUGGGCGAAAGCCUGAUCCAGCCAUUCCGCGUGCAGGAUGAAGGCCCUCGGGUUGUAAACUGCUUUUGUACAGAACGAAAAGGUUUCUACUAAUACUAGGAGCUCAUGACGGUACUGUAAGAAUAAGCACCGGCUAACUACGUGCCAGCAGCCGCAGUAA